rnacentral:RNase_P_RNA from 1 species
GGGACGGACCGGGCCGCCGCCGCGGAAGCCCUCGGGCCGCCGCGGAGGAAAGUCCGGGCUCGAUAGGGCGCGACGCCGGUUAACGACCGGGAGCGCGGCCGGCGACGGCCGCGCGACAGAUAGCGCAACAGAAAGCGAACCGCCGGCGCCGCGAGGCGCCGGUAAGGGUGAAAAGGUGGGGUAAGAGCCCACCGCGUUCGCGGCGACGCGAACGGCACGGCAAGCCUCGUCGCGAGCAAGGCCGAACAACGGAGGCGCGGCUCGCGCCGCGUCCCCGCCUAGGCGGGGACGACACUCCGUGGGUAGGUCGCGGAAGCCAGGGGAGCGAUCCCCGGCGCAGAUGGAUGGCGGCCGCCGCGCAAGCGGUACAGAACCCGGCUUAUAGGUUCGUCCCUUUU